rnacentral:rRNA from 1 species
UACAGAGGUCCCAAGCGUUGUUCGGAUGCACUGGGCGUAAAGGGUGCGUAGGCGGUCGGGUAAGUCUGAUGUGAAAUCUCACAGCUUAACUGUGAAACUGCAUUGGAUACUAUCCGGCUCGAGGAAUGGAGGGGAGACUGGAAUACUUGGUGUAGCAGUGAAAUGCGUAGAUAUCAAGUGGAACACCAGUGGCGAAGGCGAGUCUCUGGACAUUUCCUGACGCUGAGGCACGAAAGCCAGGGGAGCAAACGGG